UGCCUUUCCACGUACUCUGUCAAACGAUACGCCGCGAUGCUUCCAGACGAGCGCCAUCCCCUUCCUCGCCUCACACGCCGUCCUGUUGGUCGUGCCUCUCUUCAACCUUUUUUUCUUGAGCAUUAGCGAGAGCCCCUUACAUGGUGCAGUGCUAGCAUCGUUGCUGGCGACCUCGGUGAGGUCGGAUCUGCAAAGGUUGCAGCUAGCGCGCCUACACUACAUCAACAUGGUGUGGCAUCUCCUUUCGCAGAUCCCCAACAUGCUACGCCGCCGGCUGCCUCAUUGGAACUCCUGUGCACCGCUUGCCUUUCUUCUCCCAUUCAACCCGCAGGCGUUCCCUGGCUCAAUAGCGCAACUAGGGGAUGUCCGCCGCUACCUCCAUAUAGGAAACGACAGAUUUAGAUUUUCAGGUGAUGCGUGGUCGGGAUCCCGGAUCAAUCAAAAUAAGUGUGAAAUAAGUGUGAAAUUUGAGAGGCUGUUGAACUUCCAGAUCAGGUACCAACCAAAAAAAGUGACCCUUUUGACGGCGUAUUGCGUGGGCAAGGCAUGCCAGUGCGACAAUAGAGAAACUAACGGGGAGCUCUGUUCGUUCUGCUGAUUGCUUAUGAUUAGGCUCGCAGUGGUGGUAGCUGGGAGAGCUUGGGACUGGCCAGACGCGACCAACUCACCCAUGUAAUAAGACAACUUUUAUACAUAGCCGACAGUACGCAACCUCAUGCGCAAGAUCCUUAAUGAAACCAAAGAGCUGCAGCAGAUAACCAACGACAAGCAGAAAAAUCAGGUUGUACGCAUCCAACAUUUUACUUUCAUAUUUGCUGAAGAUGUCAACAAACAAAAUAGACAAGCAGCCCAGACAAUGGAGAUGAUGUAUACGAUAAUUGCAGAUGAGUUCAAGUCAAUGGACAAUAAGGACAUGCGCCCUGAAGAUUACUUGAACUUCUUUUGUCUUGGAAACCGGGAAGAACCACCAUCUAAUGGCAGCCCAGAAUCAGAGAAAUCUACAUAUAAAAGUGCAGAGAUAGUCUGUUUUUGCAUUUUCCUUAUUCUUAAGGGUAUGGCUUAGCUCAACCCUUCUGAUUACACCAAAACUGAAUAUGGUUUUGGCGCACGGACCUUAUGGGAAGCUAGAGGUCUGAGCUAUUGGGAAGCUAGAAUUUAUGUUUUUAUCAAUGUUUAGUCAUUAACUAAUUAAUUGCAUAUCGUUUUGUUGUAUAUUUAUUAACUAAUCGAGUGUUGCAUACGGUUUUCAGAAGCAUUUGAAGACGCAGAAAUUACUCAUGUUGACGAUACAGUAGAUCCUGUUAGAGACAUGGAAACUAUUAGUGAAGAGCUCAGACUAAAGUUUUCGUUGGAUUUUGUUGAUUUACAAGAUCAGCUGUACAACACUUAAACCUUUUUUCGACACUAUUCUGUUUCUAUUUUCUGCAGGAUAUAGAGUUCAUGAAAAAGAAACUUGAGGACCUUGAUAAGCCAAUGAAGAGGAGGAAUGAUAAGCUGCUCAAAAUUGAGCAUGAAUUAUAUUGAUCCAGCACAAUGCCGAGGAGACUGGAGACUAAACUUGGAGGUGCUACUGAAGGAUGUGACUUUGAGUCAAAGGGUAAAAGUGAUAAUGAGAUGUGUGUGUUGUAUUUUCAUUCCUCGGGACAAUAAUGUUAUUUGUAGGUAGAAGUUAUUGUACAUCUGUUAUGUGUUUUCUGCCUGAUCGUCGUUUAUGCUUGCCUCUUGAAGUAACAGGUAGCACAUGGAGAGCUUGAAUUGAAUUCAAGCUUGGAUAUGAUUGGAAAAUAUUUGUAUUAGAUCACCUAGAAGGGUGAUUGAUGCUUGUUAUUGGCCAAGCAGGUAGGUAUCACAUUUGUCUUUCUUUUGCUGUUGUAGGUUUUUUAGUUGUAACUGUCUUUUGUGUUGCUUGUUUGAAUCUGGGCUGGAAGAAAAAGGUGCAAAAUUGAAUAUGAAUUGGUCUUGGAAAAUUCAAACACAUUGAUUUUAAAUAUUAUGAGAUCCUUAUGUUUCUUGUUCUUUAGAACAACUGCAUCCUAUAUGAUUACUCAUAUGGGCUUUAGUUUCAAGUGGAUUAUGUAAUUCUUUUGUUUCAGUUCAUUGCUGCACAUCUUGGCAUGACUGCAUUGUGGGCUACAAUGUCUCUCUUCAUGCUUUGGUGAUGAACAUUUGACGCUUAGUUUCAUAAUAGAAGUAUUGUAUUAAACAUAUAAGGUAGUGAGUGAACCAGCUCUUUAGUUGUCUACUUCUAUGAGUGUAAUGACCAUCUCUGCUAAUUCUUAGUUUGGUGGUUCAGUGGUACUAUCUGAUUUCAUAGUGUAACUUUGAUUUAACAGAGAUAUAUAUGUCUGCAUGAGACCUAUUUAACUGAGCCAGUACUAGACACAUGUAAUAGGAAUCUACAUGUGUUGUCACUCGACAAUCGUAAAUGAUUAGUGAAUUUAAAAUAACUGACUCUACAUAUGCCAUAUGGGCUUUGUAGUAGUGAGAUUCGAUGUUCCCUGAAACAAUAUGCACUUUAUGUAGCUUUUGAAUGAUGAUUCCUUCCAUUUGCAGACAAUAGGUAGUCAGAUGAAGAUUGUAAAAAACAAGCAUGCUUAACCCUUCAAGAAUGCACAGUUUGAGCUUGAAUUUGGAAAGGGGAUAUGCCACAGUUCAGAGUUUUUUGAACAGAAUUUCUGGAGCAGUUGUUCCUAUAAAAUAAUAUUUUAGGUCUUGAAGCCACCACCGUUUGGAUUGACAUGAUCUGUGGUAUUCUGGUGAUCUCAUUAUAGCAGACUUCAUUUCUUAUUGUGCUUAUACAGUAGUGUAGCGGGAAGAGAAUUCACAUUGCAUGAAAUCAUGUUGAUAGCUAAGAGGUGGAAGUUGAAGUAAGCCGGGAAGGGUGAGGUAUUGGGAACUGUGGCAUUUAAAGUUCAGUAGGCAGCAGUAAACUGUAGUGGUGUGGUCGUGUACAUAAGAUGUGCACAUUUUGAACUCAGGCAUUCUUUAUUGAGUGCUGCUAGAAUUACAUUGAGCUCCCUCCACUUCUGAUACUUGCCUGGUUUUGCGUCAAUUGGAUCUGUUUGUCCGUCCUCAACACUGUUGUCUGUUUUUGCUAAUUUGGGCAUUAUCUAUGACAGAAGAAGAACGAUUAUGAAUUAUAGAUUAAAUUGAACAUAAUGUUGUUCUAAGAACAAAAACAGAUUAUUUCACUGAAUAUUUUCUCAUCGCAAGAUGUACUAAAUAGUAGGUUCACUACAGUCUUACAGAAGCCAAUAACCCACUUGAUCUUGCUAUAAUGAUGUUCUUAGAAUACUUAUAGAUGUGUUGGCUGGAACAUUAGCUCUGACAAGAUAGAAGCUUGUUUGUUCUGUUAUUUAGUCAUGUCUGCCCCUCAAACUACUGAAACCUAAAAUCUGAAACUGAAAAUCUGAAAAUAUAAAACUAAAAAUAUGAAACUGAAUAUUGUAUGUCAUGUUUGUGUCAUGUUUUCUUAGACUGCAUUGAACUCCAACAGAGACUGAGAAACAUGGAAUUAUAGCUAGAACUUGGAUCUAUGGCUGUGAUAUUCUUGCUUGCGGAAACUGGGAAUUAUAGAGAGACGGAAAUACUUUUUAAAUUAGAAUCUAACUACAAUUCGAUUUAGUUCAAGUCAAUAUUCAGAGUUCUACUUUCUGGAAUUAUUCAGAGUUCAGUUAUUCAAAGUUAUUAAUAGCUAUACUUAGCCACCCAUGAUGUAGUCAAGAAAAAAAUAACUGAACUCUUCUGCUUAUAAUUUCAACUAUAUUAAUAGAUAUUGUUAUCAGGUGUUUAAAAAGAAUGUGGUCAUCUUGUGUGACAUUUGUGUUCUUAAAUUGUUGCUCUGCUUAUAACCUUUUUUACAAUGUACUCAUCAGUUCUAUACUCGCAGCCAAAAUCUAUAGUGGGAACUCCUGCAUACAUUGCUCAUGAGGUUCUUCUGAAGAAGGAAUACAAUGGAAAGGUUUUAUGCGUAGUGUCGUUAAUUAUUCUACACUUGACAUACUGUUUUUGUUUAGUGUGCAUGUUAUUAUUCUCCACUUGAACAACAUGUUUGUUUGUCAAAACAUUUUAUACACGCACGAUUUGUAGUCAUGCAUAACAGGGAACUAUGUUGGAAGGUUCGAAUGCUAAAUUAGUCACUAACUCUUUGUUACUGAACUAAGGUUGCUGAUGUGUGGUCAUGCGGAGUGAUGCCAUACGUGAUGCUGACGAUCACCAUCCCUGAGAUAAGAAACCAUCCAUGGUUCUUGAAAAACCUCCUAGCUGACCAAAUGGAUGACAAUACGAUGAGUAAGCAGUACGAGGAGCCUGAACAACCGAUGCAGAGCAUGAAUGAGUUCAUGCAGAUCCUGGUUGAGGCGACCAUUCCAGCAGUUGGUUCACGUGGACUCAAUCAGUUUCUGAAUGAUGACAUUGACCUCGACGAUGACAUGGAGGACCUAGACUCAGAUGCCGGUCUUGACCUGGAAAGCAGUGGGGAGAUCGUGUAUGCUAUUUGACAACAUUGAAUACUUUGUUGUGUCGUAGGUUACCAAGAUAAUUAGAGACAAGGGGCAGGUUGUUGUGCUUGCAAGUAUCUGUUGCAGCUGUUGUUCAUGCCUGAUGUUGAUGCCUCUUUUCAUACUGUUGUGUUUGGAUGGUGUACCACCAGUGUUUUACAACAGUUUGGCCCUUGGAAUUGCUAUUGCUAAAACUUGGUUCCUCUGAGAAGACCUUUUGUUUUUGUA